GCGGAUGUAGUUCAAUGGUAGAACCCCAGCCUUCCAAGCUGAUUACGGGAGUUCGAUUCUCCUCAUCCGCUCCA
rnacentral:tRNA from 1 species